rnacentral:tRNA from 1 species
GGAAAGAAUAAUUUAUAAAAAAAAAUUAUCUAAUUGCAGAUUAGAUUAAGAGAAAUAGAAUUCUCUUCUUUCU